GAUGAACGCUGGCGGCGUGCCUAAUACAUGCCAGUCGAGCGAACGGACGAGAAGCUUGCUUUUCUGAUGUUAGCGGCGGACGGGUGAGUAACACGUGGAUAACCUACCUAUAAGACUGGGAUAACUUCGGGAAACCGGAGCUAAUACCGGAUAAUAUUUUGAACCGCAUGGUUCAAAAGUGAAAGACGGUCUUGCUGUCACUUAUAGAUGGAUCCGCGCUGCAUUAGCUAGUUGGUAAGGUAACGGCUUACCAAGGCAACGAUGCAUAGCCGACCUGAGAUGGUGAUCGGCCACACUGGAACUGAGACACGGUCCAGACUCCUACGGGAGGCAGCAGUAGGGAAUCUUCCGCAAUGGGCGAAAGCCUGACGGAGCAACGCCGCGUGAGUGAUGAAGGUCUUCGGAUCGUAAAACUCUGUUAUUAGGGAAGAACAUAUGUGUAAGUAACUGUGCACAUCUUGACGGUACCUAAUCAGAAAGCCACGGCUAACUACGUG
rnacentral:rRNA from 1 species